rnacentral:rRNA from 1 species
UACGUAGGGUGCAAGCGUUAAUCGGAAUUACUGGGCGUAAAGCGUGCGCAGGCGGUUUUGUAAGUCUGUCGUGAAAGCCCCGGGCUCAACCUGGGAAUUGCGAUGGAGACUGCAAGGCUUGAAUCUGGCAGAGGGGGGUAGAAUUCCACGUGUAGCAGUGAAAUGCGUAGAUAUGUGGAGGAACACCGAUGGCGAAGGCAGCCCCCUGGGAUAACACUGACGCUCAUGCACGAAAGCGUGGGGAGUAAACAGG